rnacentral:rRNA from 1 species
AGGAUGAACGCUGGCGGCGUGCCUAACACAUGCAAGUCGAACGUCCUGUCUCGCAAGAGGCAGGGAGUGGCGGACGGGUGAGUACCACGUGGGUCAUCUACCGUGAGGUGAGGAAUACCGGCGAGAAAUCGCCGACAAGACCGCAUAGGCUCGAUGCAAGUCGAGCAAAGCUCUUUCGAGAGAGGGAGCGCCACACGAGGAGCCUGCGCCCGAUUAGCUAGCUGGUGGAGUAACGGUUCACCAGGGCGACGAUCGGUAGCUGGUCUGAGAGGACGAUCAGCCACACUGGGAUUGAGAACGGCCCAGACUCCUACGGGGGGCAGCAGUGAGGAAUUUUCGUCAAUGGGGGCAACCCUGAACGAGCAACGCCGCGUGCAGGAGAAGGUUUUCGGAUCGUAAACUGCUCUUCUCGGGGAAGAGAACGGACGGUACCCGAGGAAUCAGCCCCGGCUAACUCGUGCCAGCAGCCGCGGU